rfam:Oryza sativa Japonica Group DNA, chromosome 3, cultivar: Nipponbare, complete sequence.
AAUAAAUGCAGCCAUAGAUAUCCAUGUCUAGUGUUUUGACCGUCUUGUCUUAUUUAAAAAUUUUAUAAAAAAAAUUAAAAAUAUUAGUCACACAUAAAGUACUAUUCAUGUAUUAUCAUCUAAUAACAAUAAAAAUACUAAUCAUAAUUGUUUUUCAAAUAAGACGAACGAUUAAACGUUGAGCAUAAACAAUGUUAAAACUGCACUUAUU